rnacentral:rRNA from 1 species
AGCGAACGCUGGCGGCAGGCCUAACACAUGCAAGUCGAACGAAGUCUUCGGACUUAGUGGCGGACGGGUGAGUAACACGUGGGAACGUACCUUUUGGUUCGGAACAACUCAGGGAAACUUGAGCUAAUACCGAAUGUGCCCUUAGGGGGAAAGAUUUAUCGCCAUUAGAGCGGCCCGCGUUAGAUUAGCUAGUUGGUGAGGUAAAGGCUCACCAAGGCUACGAUCUAUAGCUGGUCUGAGAGGAUGAUCAGCCACACUGGGACUGAGACACGGCCCAGACUCCUACGGGAGGCAGCAGUGGGGAAUCUUGCGCAAUGGGCGAAAGCCUGACGCAGCCAUGCCGCGUGAAUGAUGAAGGCCUUAGGGUUGUAAAGCUCUUUCACCGAUGAAGAUAAUGACGGUAGUCGGAGAAGAAGCCCCGGCUAACUUCGUGCCAGCAGCCGCAGUAAGAC